rnacentral:lncRNA from 1 species
GGAAGAGUUGUAGCGCCCGGAAAAUUGAAGAAGAAAAAAAAAAAAGGGAGAGGCCACGUUAGCAGCCACGUCAGCAGACCCAGUCAGCAGUCCCGGCCAACCGAGACCUGCCACGUGGCAAGACCACGUCGAUUCGGGACGGGCCACGUUGGCGAUCUGCGUAUGCGCGAUCGGACGGCCCAGAUCAAGCGUGCGAUCGGACGGCCCAGAUGCAAUUGCACGGACGGCCCAGAUUCAAUCAAAAACGGACGGCCCAGAUUAAAUCAAAAUGGAUGGCUGAGAUCAAAAGGAAAAAGGGUAUAAAUAAGACCCCCACACCAGACCACAAAACCUUAGCCGCCUGGCCUCGCCGGAGAAGACGAACCAGAAGCCGGCCGCCGCCACCCGCCGCCGCACCGGAGAGAUUUCCGACUGCCGAUCGAGGUAAAUUUCAUACCCCGACUCAUUUUUCCACGCUGAUUUCCCCUAUGGCCAAAUCAGAGCCAAAAUCCCGGCCAAACAGCCGAAAAACACGGCCGAAACCCAGCGGCGCCGCCGC